CUUUUACCUUGCUCUUAACCUAUAAAGGAUCUUUUGAAUUGAUAAAUGUCUUGCCUCAUUGAAGUCAGGUUUCUGUUUUUCUUAGCUUUAUAAUGACUGGAUAUGUUAUUGAGGAUCUAUGGAAGCUGUCAAACUAAGUGGCAGAAUAUUUUCCUUGCUUAGUUAAGUGCUAAAGCUUGUCUUCAUGUUUGAAUCUAUGCCAUGAAUUCUGGACAUCUUACAGCAUCCAACCUGAAACUUAAACUACUAUGUGACAGGCCUAUGAAUCCAAUAGGAGUGAGUGGUUGGAGAGGCCUAGGCAUUGGAUAAGGUGAUAAAAAGUUUCAUUUUACAAGUUACAACUGAUUUGACAUUAAUAGAAGAUACAUUCCACUUGAAUUGUGUUAUGACAGAAACAGAACUGCCUCAAUUGUCAAAUAGGUUUGGGAUAUAAAAUAGGAAUAAUUCAAGAGUAUUGAAGAAACUUGCGUCAUUUGGCUUAACUUGCACUUUCACAUGUGAAGACAAAAUUGUAACUAUGAAAAAUAACGGUUCAUGGAAUUACUUGUUGUCUUGUUCAAUGCUCAGUUGAGGCUGUAAAUGAGUUGGGUCAAGCUGCACAUUAGCUAGUUCAAGCUUAGCUCAUUCAUUAAACAAGUUUGAAAGAUGAGUUACUUUAUUUCAUUUGAUAAACAAGCAAAACUUGAAGUUGAGUAUGGCAUUAAGCUUUGCCAUCAUAUUUGCAGGAUUAUCUAGUGUAAACAUCUUUGCGGUUGAAAU
rnacentral:misc_RNA from 1 species